rnacentral:snoRNA from 1 species
AAGAUCGUACUUCUAAGGAUCACUCCUAUAGUACGCAUCACCAAGACGCCAGUCAAAACUGGUUCUGACUACCCAGCCGUGCUGACGACACGUUUGCCCCUCCGUAAGCGUGACACGGUGUUGGGCUGUCAGCGUGUGCUGCAGCAGUGCCUCGUGGUUAAUCACUCGCGUGUGUACGUGGUGUGAUGUGAUGAGGUGGUGCAUUGCUGAGGU